rnacentral:rRNA from 1 species
CCCUUAGAUGUUCUGGGCAGCACGCGCGCUACAAUGGUCUUCGCAAACGGAUGCAUUCUCGAAGGAGAAUGCCAAACUUGGAAUCUAUGCCUUGGUCGGGACAGUUGCUUGCAAUUUUUCGACUCGAACCAGGAAUUCCUUGUAAUCGUGAUUCAUCACAUCACGAUGAAUACGUCCCUGCCCUUUGUACACACCGCCCGUCGCUCCUACCGAUCGAAGAGUUAGGUGAAUUGUUUUGAUCGAUAAGAUUUGACUAUGGUCAACUCUCGUUGUGAAAUUCUGUGAAUCUGACUGUUUAGAGGAAGGAAAAGUCGUAACA